AUCGCUUCUCAGCCUUUUGCCUGAGAUCAUGUGUAGUUCUGUUCUUGUCAGUUUAAAUAUCUGAUAUAUUGUUCACCUGAGUUAGAGACUGAAUAUUAAUCUGAUUUUUGCAGGAAUGAGUUUGGUUAGGAGCUUGCUCCGUCAACUUGGCGCAUCGUCCUGGUAUUGCAGUGUUUCUGAGAAAGGUGCACCCCUC